rnacentral:rRNA from 1 species
UGGGGAAUAUUGGACAAUGGGCGCAAGCCGUGAUCCAGCAAUGCCGCGUGAGUGAAGAAGGCCUUAGGGUUGUAAAGCUCUUUCGCCUGCGACGAUGAUGACGGUAGCAGGAGAAGAAGCCCCGGCUAAUUCCGUGCCAGCAGCCGCGGUAAUACGGAAGGGGCUAGCGUUGUUCGGAAUUACUGGGCGUAAAGCGCGCGUCGGCGGCUUCGCCAGUGCGGCGUGAAAGUCCUGGGCUCAACCUGGGGACGGCGCUGCAGACUGUGAGGCUAGAGUCCGGAAGAGGGUGGUGGAAUUCCGAGUGUAGAGGUGAAAUUCGUAGAUAUUCGGAGGAACACCGGUGGCGAAGGCGGCCACCUGGUCCGGAACUGACGCUCAAGUGCGAAAGCGUGGGGAGCAAACAGGAUUAGAUACCCUGGUAGUCCACGCUGUAAACGAUGGGUGCUAGAUGUCGGGGGGCUUGCUCUUCGGUGUCGUAGCCAACGCGUUAAGCACCCC